CUGGAGUACCCUGUUCCUGGCAGUAAGUGCUUCUGGGUUCUGGCGUUGCUGCUCAGUGGGGCCCAAGUUUGCGGACCCGGGAUCUCAGGAUGCAGGCAGGGCUUAUGCCCCGCGCCGGACAGGGCGUAGGGUGGGCCUCCUCCUGCCCCUACUCGCGCGGUUUGCUCCUCAGUCUCCUUCCCUUGCUGCUUUCACGACUUUCAUUGGAGCUUUCUGGACCCUGUGCUUGACGGUGCUGUAGGUGCCGUGGGGACACACAGGCUAGUCUGAUAAGCACCCUCCGCCGGAAUCAUGCGGUGCUGUAAGGACUAACGAAGAUGAAGAUAGAAUGCAAGGUAGAAAGUGCUGGAUGCCUUUAGAAAGCUGCAGGACUGGUGCGAUGGGAGUUGAGUCAUAACCUGUCCGUCAUUAGGACUCAGGAUGCUGCUGAGGCCCUAGGCUUCUAUGGUAGAUUUGAAAACUCACCCUUGUAGAGUGAUGGUGUCCAGCCUUUGAGAGGACUCCCUUUUAAGGGUCCCACUCCAUUGCCCAAGCUGAAGUUCAGUGGCACGAACAUGUUUCACUGCAGCCUCAACCUCCUGGGCUCAAGCUGUCCUGCCUCAGCCUCCCGUGUAGCUGGGACCACAAGCACUCGCCAUCACACCUGGAUAAUUUUUUGAUGUUUCAUGGAGACAGUGCUUCACUUUGUUGCCUAUGCUGGUCUUGAACUCCUGGCCUCAAGCAAUCCUUCUGCUUUGGCCUUCCAGAGUGCUGAAAUUACAGGGGAGGAACAGGAAGAGAAGAGUGUGGCCUCCUAGAAAUCUAGCACGGAGAAAGACUGGUCUUGAACUCCUGACCUCGUGAUACUCAGCCUCCCAAAGUGCUGGGAUUACAGGAGUGAACCACCAAGCCCGGCUUGACCUCUUGGCUUUUACCAAAGGAUGUUUGCUUCUGAGGAAGCUGGAAGCUGCAGCCACAAUGUGCCUUUGCAGGGGAGCCUGAGAGCCACAGAUGUUAAGGAGAACUGCAAACCACUGUUC
rnacentral:lncRNA from 10 species